rnacentral:rRNA from 1 species
UCGGAGUUGGAUGAGCCCGCGUCGGAUUAGCUAGUUGGUGGGGUAAUGGCCUACCAAGGCUACGAUCCGUAGCUGGUCUGAGAGGAUGAUCAGCCACACUGGGACUGAGACACGGCCCAG